UGGGGAAUAUUGCGCAAUGGGGGAAACCCUGACGCAGCAACGCCGCGUGAAGGAUGAAGGCCUUCGGGUUGUAAACUUCUUUGAUGAGGGAAGAAUAAUGACGGUACCUCAAAAACAAGCCACGGCUAACUACGUGCCAGCAGCCGCGGUAAUACGUAGGUGGCGAGCGUUGUCCGGAAUUACUGGGUGUAAAGGGCGUGUAGGCGGGAAUGUAAGUCAGAUGUGAAAUUCCGAGGCUCAACCUCGGCGCUGCAUCUGAAACUAUAUUUCUUGAGUGCUGGAGAGGAAAGCGGAAUUCCUAGUGUAGCGGUGAAAUGCGUAGAUAUUAGGAGGAACACCAGUGGCGAAGGCGGCUUUCUGGACAGUAACUGACGCUGAGGCGCGAAAGCGUGGGGAGCAAACA
rnacentral:rRNA from 1 species